rnacentral:rRNA from 1 species
CCUACGGGAGGCAGCAGUGAGGAAUAUUGGUCAAUGGGCGGGAGCCUGAACCAGCCAAGCCGCGUGAGGGAAGAAGGUACAGCGUAUCGUAAACCUCUUUUGUCAGGGAACAAAGGCGGGGACUAGUCCCCGGAUGAGGGUACCUGAAGAAAAAGCAUCGGCUAACUCCGUGCCAGCAGCCGCGGUAAUACGGAGGAUGCGAGCGUUAUCCGGAUUUAUUGGGUUUAAAGGGUGCGUAGGCUGUUGGAUAAGUUAGAGGUCAAAUGUCGGGGCUUAACCCCGUGCCUGCCUCUGAUACUGUUCGACUAGAGAGCGGAUGCAGCAGGCGGAAUGAGUAGUGUAGCGGUGAAAUGCUUAGAUAUUACUCAGAACACCGAUUGCGCAGGCAGCUUGCUAAUCCGCAUCUGACGCUGAUGCACGAAAGCGUGGGUAGCGAACAGGAUUAGAUACCCCGGUAGUC